rnacentral:rRNA from 1 species
GAUGAACGCUGGCGGCGUGCCUAAUACAUGCAAGUCGAGCGAACGGACGAGGAGCUUGCUUCUCUGAUGUUAGCGGCGGGCGGGUGAGUAACACGUGGAUAACCUACCUAUAAGACUGGGAUAACUUCGGGAAACCGGAGCUAAUACCGGAUGAUAUUUUGAACCGCAUGGUUCAAAAGUGAAAGACGGUCUUGCUGUCACUUAUAGAUGGAUCCGCGCUGCAUUAGCUAGUUGGUAAGGUAACGGCUUACCAAGGCAACGAUGCAUAGCCGACCUGAGAGGGUGAUCGGCCACACUGGAACUGAGACACGGUCCAGACUCCUACGGGAGGCAGCAGUAGGGAAUCUUCCGCAAUGGGCGAAAGCCUGACGGAGCAACGCCGCGUGAGUGAUGAAGGUCUUCGGAUCGUAAAACUCUGUUAUUAGGGAAGAACAUAUGUGUAAGUAACUGUGCACAUCUUGACGGUACCUAAUCAGAAAGCCACGGCUAACUACGUG